rnacentral:rRNA from 1 species
GACGGACCGAGCGAACGUUGUUCGGAAUCACUGGGCUUAAAGGGCGCGUAGGCGGGUGCUCAAGUCUGUGGUGAAAUCCUCCGGCUCAACCGGAGAACGGCCAUGGAUACUGGGUGUCUCGAGGGUGGUAGGGGUAUGCGGAACUAUCGGUGGAGCGGUGAAAUGCGUUGAUAUCGAUAGGAACUCCGGUGGCGAAGGCGGCAUACUGGACCACAUCUGACGCUGAGGCGCGAAAGCCAGGGGAGCGAACGGG